UACAGAGGGUGCAAGCGUUAAUCGGAAUUACUGGGCGUAAAGCGCGCGUAGGCGGUGUGUUAAGUCGGAUGUGAAAUCCCCGGGCUCAACCUGGGCACUGCAUCCGAUACUGGCUGACUAGAGUGUGGGAGAGGAAGGUAGAAUUCCAGGUGUAGCGGUGAAAUGCGUAGAGAUCUGGAGGAAUACCGAUGGCGAAGGCAGCCUUCUGGCCUGACACUGACGCUGAGGUGCGAAAGCAUGGGGAGCAAACAGG
rnacentral:rRNA from 1 species